GGCCAUUGAUUGUUUUUGAUCUUGUGGCCUAAGAUUAAUCUUCUCCAUCUAUGCUUUCUACUCUCUCUUUGAAUCGUGAAACCUAAAAUCACGAAGUCUUCAGAUCUACACACAGAGCUUGACUGGGUUCAACCCUCUGUCUCUGUAUCUCUAUCUCUCUCCCUCGGCCAUGAUGAAAGCUUCGACAAGGCUUGACUGUAGUCAUGAACAGAGGAGGAGAAGAGGCUCGCCGGAGAUGAAUAAAGGGGAAAGUCUCAGCCUCUCUUUGCCAUGAACCUCGCCGGAAGGUGGGUCGCGAGCUUGAAGGUGGCGGUGACAAGGCGGGGCAAGGCGGCAGCUGCGAAUCCCUCGUUUCUGGGACUAUUGAUUCAGUUGCUCCAAGAGAACUCAUGCAACAGCAGAUUUGAGUGGUGCUAUUGAGGCAGGAAACAAGGAGGACUUUGAGAAGUACAGCAAACGAACUGUGAAGACUCAGAGUUUCUCUGUCAACAGCCUCGUUCUACUCCUUUCCUAUCAUGCGGACAGUGGAGUGUCUCUAUGUGGGAAGUUACCUCUCUUGCAGAAUUCCAGCGAUCUUAGGAUUGUUUUGUAGGUUGAAGAUGAAGUCCCUAGACUCAGCAAUUGUUUUGGUUUGUGUAUUUGGAUGAUUCUAUUUUGUAGGUUGAAGAUGAAGUCCCUAGACUAAGCAAUUGUACAAUCUGUUUUGUACCUAUUUAGAAACUUGGAGAGAUGGUUCUGAUAAUA